UUGUCUUGGGAGCUGAGGCAGUGGUGGAGAAACUGAAGGAUCAAGGAGGAAGUGGCAAAGAUGAAUGAGCAAUUCAGCAAAUCCAUUUACUUUUCUUCCUAGACUCACAGUGAGACUACCUUUCUCAGCUCCUCUUUCAAUUAGGUGUGGCCAGGUGGCUGAACAGAUUGCUAUCUAUGCCCAUAAAAACAACCCAUGCACAAUCUUAUUUCCAUCUAGAAUGAAUGAAUCCUGCAGAGAACUACAGAAGAUCCUAAGGAUUGCAGAGCCACAGGAUGGAAGGUGCUUGGAUCCCUGAGAGACUACAUGGAGCAGAGGGACCCUUCCUUACCCCCCAUGCCAACUGGACUUUACAUGAGAAGGCAGCCAUAUUCUGCCUGAACUGAAUUAUUGGCCAAGAACGGAAUGAAGAUCACGGGAGAGAGGAGCAAAGCAUCCUGGCAGAGUCCCUGAGGCCACCUUCAUCUCUAUUUGAUGCCUUGGUGCCUGCACAUAAAUUCCCCAUCAAUUUUUGUAUAAUCUGGGUCACAUGUGUGUUAUAUCUGGGACAACUCAGAGGCCUAAAAAUACAGAGAUCGUUAUUUAUUAUCCCCAAUUUACAGAUGCACAUCCUGAGUGAGGCUCAAGGGUGGAAGUGCCCAUGAGUCAGGAUUUGAAGUCAGAUUUGUCUGACCCCACCUCUC
rnacentral:lncRNA from 10 species